UUGACUCAAAUACCAAUCACUAAAAUGGAAUGAAAACAACCAAUUGAUACAUUGACUGCAAAUUAAAAUACUAAUCCUCACUUGACCAAACUAUGGUAACACUAACACCCAAUCACAGAGCAACUAAUACCAUCAAUCUAACAGGUCCAAAUGUAACAUACAAGUGUUUACCGUGAUAUUUCAAUGAAAUAACAUGAUUUAACUAAUGUGUGUCCCAACAAUAAAUAAAAUAGUUGUUGUUUACAAAAAGAUUCAGUUAGUUGGUUAGACAAAUUACCUGACUCCAGAAUGGUUGUCAAGUCCUCUGCGGAGGGGCUGGAGUUGCCAGACAGGUAAGCAAGCAGAUAGGCAGCGAUGAACUUCAUCCUGACCAAAUAACAAAGGAACAUAUUCAGCAAAUGUAAAUAGCCGGAAUUCUUCAAACAUCUGAUAGAACAGUAGAUAAAUAAAAUUAUCCCAGAAUCUAAUCCAUAACUAAAGGUGACGCUAGUGUACGUUAGUGCUUAGAUGAAACUACUGAACAGCCAAAAAGAAUAGUGUUCUUUCUUAAUCCGCUCAAGAAGCGAAAUUAUCUGCUCGUAAUGGAAGCCAUCUUUUUUCUGAGGAGAAAGCAAGAUAUUAAUAAUACAAUUUCCCACUAUGCCACUGGUGCCGGCCAUGUCUUAGGCUCUUAGCAAUGGGUUCUUGCAUAUGAGAUCCAAGAUACUCGCCAACAAACUAUUGCAAAUCAACUACUCCAGUAGAAUGUUCCGAUAAACUCGAAACCCCGUGACUACGAGCAACUAGUGACAAGAUCAUAGAAACGAGAUAUGCAAAAGGGCAUUAGAAUCGUUACUUGGAUCGGAGAGGGAGAGAGCUGAAGGCGCGGCGGCGGCGGAGAGAUCGAGUGGUCUUCUAGGGUUUCUGCGAGUAAGGGUUCUCGUGGGAGCGGCGGAGCAACUUAUUUAUAUAGCCUGUGACUGCGGCGGGCUGCGAUCUGCACCGUCCGUCUCUGCCAUUGGUCCGGCCCCUGUUGUCCCAGCCGUUGAUAAAUCCGAUCGACGCCUCCUGAUAGAGGAGUAAAUUAUGGGCCUGGGUGCCUAAAUACAUGGCCGAGUUGUAACUUUGCAACUUUAAUGGGCUUUUUAGCCGUUUUUCGAAGCCCAUUAACCGUUACUCCUGGUCUUGUCGUGGCAUGAGAAAGCCCACGAGUACGCCAUGCCAUAAACCAUUUCUUCCUCGUUCCUCCGCUUCUCCCCAGCGCACCGUUGGUUGGUUGCCACGACAAGCGCGGCCUAAUCGGACGAGGUCCGGUGCUAGAUAUACCCGCCGGCACUACGCCGACGGCUGACAGUCUGAAACGUAGGUAGCGCCCUCCAGGCUUGCAAAUCAAUGAUAUUGAGCCAUUUUGCCAAGAUGAAAUUGUGCUAUACCAACAAUGUGCUGAAAAAAGGGUCAGUUAUAUUACCACCUGAAGCUGCAGCUUUCAAAUCCAUUUUCAUGUUUAGCUGAUUGUUAUUUCCUGUCUUAUUUUUUUACAGGACAAGGAAAUAAGGGGGCGUCUGCAGGAUAGUGAAUAUAAACUGGGUUUCUCGAUGCCCCUUGAAGAAGCAAAGGAAAGAGUCACUCAACUCCAGUCAGAGGUCACACUGCUUGAAAGGUAACGUGGGUGGUGAUGCCUUUUGUCCUACAUGUAUUAUCAUACCAUCAUUUCGUGAUUACAAGCGGGUUAAUUUUUCAAGUUCCAAGAUGAACCUUCCAUUAGAAUUUUGUGAAACUGGAGUAAAAUGAUCCACAGCUUGGACAUACAUAACUAUCUCUUACACUCAGGGGUGUCUUCAAAUCGGGAAAAUAUCAGGUGAAAACAACCAUUGGAUGAAAACCUAAAAACUCUCGUCCUGAGCCGUUGGAUCGAAAAUUCACGGCCCAGAUCUAAGGUGGGAUUGGAACCAACAACUUAAAGACGAUUUUACACAAAUUCCCCUGAUGUUACCUCCGCUUACAAUGCAUCGUAGGAAUCCCCGUUCCCUCACCCCUCCCGUCCCAUUACAUCCCCAAUUCGGAGCUGACUGGAGACCACCGGCGAAGUCCCAACAGCGACCAACUGGAGCGCCGCUUCGCAGGCGCGCAACGGCGACUAGAGGCCGUAGUGUCUCCACGAAGGGAUCGCACCGCUAGCGGCGGCGACGCUCACCCCACGCCGCGGCAGCGGCGACCCUGACUACAGGUGAUGGCGCGGGCGGCCCUGACUCCAGGUGCUGGCGCGGGCGACGGCGGCGCUGAGUUCUCUGUGAUGACUACCAACAUGGCCCGUCGACCUGGACCUCCGCAAUGCCGUCUCUACUACCCAGCGGUGCACUAGGCGAGGCCACGAGGGAGAGAUAGAAGCCUCGACGGUGCCCCCAUGGCUCGGCGUCAAGUCGGCUUGAUUUCCCUGCAGUGGCACCAGCCCCACGCGACCGGAAACGCGCGACGCUGACCCAGGCGAUGACGAAGCUGAACCUGUUGUCUUCUUGCUUUUAUCUGAACUUGAUGUCAUCUGAACUUGUGUUGGCUGGAGAGUACUCUAGAAGGUGGUCGGCGAAGGGACAGUGGUCACGUUCGAGGUCGACAUAAGGCGGGCGAUCACGGCCGGCGUCCGGCGAGUGCUCCGUCCGCCCGUCGGCGUCUGACGAAGGCCCAGUGUGCCUGAACGUGGCCGGCGGUGGACGCGCGCUACAUAACGGGAUUUAUGGACGGCGUGGAAGAGGGCGCGUUGUGGGGGUCGUCAAAGAGGAAGGAAGACGUGCGGUGACGCUCCGGUGCUACGAAACACGGAUACGGCUCUGAACCGGCGUAUUUGUAUCGGAUACUGCAUGGAUACGGGAUACGCCCGGAUACUCCCAAAACGUAUUUUGCCGUAUCGGAUUAUUUUUCGAUCUAAAAUAAUUAAAAAAAAUAUCUGAUACGUGAGGAAUACCUCCCGAUACUUGUGGGAUACGAGAAACUGAACACCAGAAGAAGCACAUCGGUCGUCGAUCUAUCCUACCAAUCUCCCUUCUCUGUUCGGGCAGAAUGGUUGAUUGAUUUCUUGACUUAUCUUCUCCAGUUCUCUCUUUCUCAGCCCAGGUCAUCCAUGGCAAGAUGAGCGUCAGCUUUAGUUGGGAGCUCGAGCUCGAGCACUACAGAGAACUGGGGAACAAUCUGGCAAUGCAGUACCAUUUUUGACUACUUCUCAUAUAAAAAUCUUUAUUUUCUAUAUUUUUUAUUAUUUAACAUAUACAUAGAAACGUAUCCCCGUAUCUAUGUUUUUCAAAAAUUGGCAUAUCGCGGUAUCCCCGUAUCGCGUAUCCGAUACGUAUCAACGUACCCGUGCUUCCUAGCUCCAGUGCGCUCGAUUGGAGGUUGACGAUGACGCAUGGAUCUCACAAAGUCAAGAUCGAUUGGAAGACAGAUCGUCGCUUCUCGUUUCCUUGUUGUGCAGUUGAGAGUACCAAUCAUCACCAAAAGACAGGAGGUUUAAUGUAAAAUCACGUUUAAGUUGUUGGUUCCAAUCUUGCCUUAGAUCUGGGCUGUGAAUUUUCGAUCCAACGGCUCAGGACGAGAGUUUUCAGGUUUUCACCUAAUGGCCGUUUUCACAUGAUAUUUCCCCCUUCAAAUCAGCACUAGUAACAAGAUAAAGAGUGUGAGUAAGUGUUACUCCGUAUUUGAUAGGAGCAUGUCAAUUGUAGAUUUCCUUUACUCCUUGCAUAUCUUGAAUUAAUCCAACUUUGUAGUUAUCUCUACCUAUUAUAUGGAGUACAUAACAAUUUUAAAAGCCUCACCAAUAUCAACUAUAUGUAGUACAUAACAUGAGUUGAAAUUCUGAAUCCUGUUACCUGUUACCCUCUUCGUUUGAGGCCUAGCCGCGACCCAGCCGCACCCCCAAACGACGGCCCCCAAAAAAUACAAUUCAACCAUAGUUUUGCCGCCACUUCAUAGGCUGGCCCAAAUCACCAAAUCGCCCAAAUUGAUCACAAGUCUCGGCGAACAAAAUAACAUCAAACUAUUAAAUAAAAUAAAAUCACUCGGCCUGAUCGUCAUCCGCCGGAGCUGAAGGCACGUCCAAGCUCGCCGGUGGUGCAGAAGUGGCCGGAGGAGCUGUUUCGGGUGGUGAUGGCGUAGAGGGGCCCGGUGCUGUUGUGUCGGGUGCCGAUGGCGGAGUCGAUGACGCCGGCGCUCUCGGUUCGGCCGAAAUGAGCCUGCGUUGGCAAUCGUACCACGCCUUCACCUCGGCGUCCAUGCCGGUGGUGUCGCACGUCAAGAUCAACUAGUCCUCCCGUCUCUUCUUCGCCACAACGUUCGCCUUGAGGAUCUCGAGCUUGUCAUCUUGCUUCUUGAUCACCGUCGCCUACUGUGACGCCGCGACCUCCUCCCUCUUCGCGGAUGGUGCGGCGGCGUUGGUCUGUAGAGGCGCUCCGUGGCCGUCGCGGCAUCCCUCGCCGCCUUUGCCUUUCUUGUGCCGAUGGGCCGGCCUUCCGAUGCCGCCGAAGGAGCGGCUUUUGAGUCACGGGGGGCGUCCUUGGACUUGGCGAGAGCAUUCCGCAUCUCCAUCCACUUGUCGCACAUCUCAAUUCUUGCGAAGACAUGGAUGAACUUGCUACAUGAUGUUUGCCAUGGUUUUCUGGAUUAAAUAUUCAUCGAAAAUACCUAAUUAUUCAACAUUCAUACCAUGAAGAGAAGGAAACAAGCUAAACAGGGUACUUGUGCAGUUAAACUUGAUAUGAUGGAGGCAUAUGAUCGUGUUGAAUGGCCUUUUAUUGAGGCAAUUACGCUCAAGCUUGGUUUCUCGGAGAAAAUGGUGAAGCUGAUUAUGAAGUGCAUCUCGUCAGCUCCUUUUUCAGUUAAAGUAAAUGGGGAAUUACUCGGGGGAUCCGACAAGGGGAUCCAGUAUCACCUUACCUUUUUCUCAUGCGUGCAGAGGGUCUUACAGCUCUUCUCAAUAAUUACACCGGUGGUUUUGUUGAUCGAGGCAUUCGGGUGUGCAACCGGUCGCCGUGGAUUACAAAUCUCCUUUUUGCAGAAGAUAGCCUGAUCUUCAUCAGAGGCGUCUGAACAUGAUUCUUCAGAUGUACAAUGAAGCUUCAGGGCAGCUUAUGAAUAGAGAAAAGAGCAAUAUUUUCUUCUGCCCGGGCAUUCUUGAGGAGACAAGGGAGGCGGUCAAGUUGGAGCUAGAUAUUCCAGUGGAGGCGUUUACUGAAAAAUAUCUUGGUUUGCCAAAAGAAGUUGGAAAACUCGCUGGUGGCUCUUUUGACUAUAUUGCUGAAAGAAUACGAAGUAAGAUAAAUGGUUGGGCAGAGAAGUAACUCUCAUAAGCCAGCAAGGAGGUACUUAUUAAGGCGGUUAUUCAGGCCAUGCCGACAUAUAGUAUGAGUUGCUUCCUAUCGUCGAAAGGACGUGUCAGAAGUUGACAUCACUUGCAUCCAACUUUUGGUGGAAUGGAUCGCUGGACAAGAGGCCGAUGCACUGGCUAGCUUGGGAGAAAAUUGCGAAACCUAAGACUGCUGGUGGUAUGGGUUUUUGAGAUCUUCAACUUUUUAAUCUGGCUCUUUUGGGGAAGCAAGGUUGGAGGCUGAUCUCGGAACCGUAUUCUUGUGUGCGCGAGUUCUUCGAGGGAGAUAUUUUCACAACUCUGACUUCAUGGCUGCUGAAGCGCCAAGAACAACCUCGAAAACUUGGCGAGCAAUUUUGGCCGGCCGUAUAGCGCUAGAGACAUGUCUUAUUAAGAGGAUCGGGAAUGGUUUAUCUGUAUCUGUUUGGCAAGACCGCUGGAUCCCGGGGUCCAUAUCAAUGAAGCCACUCGGCAGGUUACAGGAUAAUGGGAUUGGGUUGGUUAACGACUUGAUUGAGCCCCUGACUUUCAGUGGGAUGUGCAGAGGAUUCGAAGUACUUUUCUUGCGCUUGAUGCCAACCUAAUUAUGCAAAUCCCUCUGCACCUUAGUGCGGGAGAGGAUUGGUGUGCAUGGCAAGGGGAGAAAACAGUGAGAUCGGCGUAUCGAAACUUGGUGUCAGAUCGGGAUCGUCUGGAAGAUGCACAAGCUGGGUCUGCUUCAGUUUCUAGCCUUGGUGCACAGGAGAGCAAUGGAAGCAAUUGUGGUCUUUGAUGUUCUACCGCGGGUACGAGUUUUUUGGCGGCGAGUUUUGCGUGGCAUUUUGCCCGAUUAUGCGACUCUCACCGGGCAACAUGUCAGAGUUGAAAGUACCUGUCCGGUGUGCAAAUCCUCCUCAGAAACUUUGCUGAGGGAGUGUGCUCAUGGCCGGCCUUUUUGGGCGGCGGCAAAGAAUCUGCUCACCGGCUGCAUCCAACCACGUGGACUGCUGAUAAUAUGUGUGAUGAUCAGUUUGAUAAGAGUAGCAGGUGUAUGAUCAUCUCUAUUAUGGCCGCUAUCUGGGACUCGAGGAACAGAUGGGCUCAUGAUGAUGUUGGUUUUGAAGCGACCAAAUCAUGGAAACACUAGCGAUUCUAGAGAAGAAGGCUAAUACGGUCCACCGGCCGGCUUUGUCGAAGGUAAAUUCUGAUGGUGCAAUCCAUACUGACAAAGGUAGAGCGGCGAGUGGUGCUAUUUUGAGAAGUACAGAAAAUUUUAUUGACGCCGGAUUUAUCAAGGAUUAUCAGAUCCGUUGAUUAUCGUGACACUAGCACUGCGUGAUGCUUCUGGAGAAGGGCUUCACCCAUGUUAUGUAGAAACUAACUGAAAAGAGUUGGUUCGUCGAAAUUCUCGUCCAUGCCAGACGCGCGGUGAUUGUCCCAAUCCUUAGUAAGAUGGCUGAGAUUAGUUUCAAUUUUGAGAGUUUUCAUAGCGUCUGUCCGCCGUUCGGCCAAUGAUGGUGCUUCGGCAGAUUGGGAUGCUCCGGCUCCUAGUUUUCUUUUGUCUAGUCUGGAGUCAGAUUGUAAUCAUGCUUGGGUGAGUUAAUAAAGUAAGAAGUUUAACCUAAAAAAAAAGCACCAACUGGACGAUUCACUAGUUCUUCAAGGAUCUUUUUUGUCUUAAAGAACAUUUUCAACCCGAAUACAACUUAAAACAGGCAAUAAAUUUCCCCAGCACCUCUGAACUAACUCAAAUAAAAAACAGGCCCUUAACUCAAUGCGAAAUAGAGAUGCUUUCAUUUUCUCGAUCUUAUAUACAUGGCAGUCUUCAUAUAACUAGCACAACAGGCCCUUGCCCACCCAACACCAGAACUUGAUUGAAGUUCGAGGAACAGGAUUCAGAAUUUCAACUCAUAUAACUAACACAACAAGAACAAGGAAUCGCACAAAAUUAACGUUGGCAAAACAAGUUAAUGUAAAGUACCAAAAUCGGAUAGAAAAGGUAUGGUUCACCAGUAAAUCAAGAAGGCAACCUAGUGCAGAGUUACACAUCAAAAGUCUUUCCAGCGUUUCACAACAUUAUCGACUCUAGUUUCCUGGCCAAAGACUGAUAGUGAAGAUAAAGGAUGACCAAGUACUUAGUCGAAGAGACUGAAGCCCAUGUCCUGCAAGCAGAUUAGCAUAUAAACUGUCACAACUAUUUCUUUGAAAUGGAUCAAAGGAUAGACAUACCAAAAUAAUUGAUGUUGCUAAAAAGGGCAUAAGUGAGAAUGGCUAUCUUACAUCAUCGCUCUCUUCCUUCUCCACGACCUUCUCCUCUUUCUUCUCAGCCGCCGGAGCAGCGCCGCCACCACCACUGGCAGGAGCAGCUGCUGCCACAGCUACACCACCACCACCAGACGGAACUGAAGCAAACUUCUCCCUGCCAGCAGCCAAGAGCUCAGCGAUGUCCUUGCCCUUCACUUGGGACAGCAUGAGUUCCAUCUUUUCAUUGUCGAUUUCACAACCAACUGCUAACAUUAGAAGCUGUCAAUAUAUAAAGAACAUAUAGCUAAUGUUGACUCAGUGUAUAUCACAUAAAACGGAAUAAAAACAAACAAUUGUUACAUUGACUGUAAAUUCAAUACUAAUCAUCAUUUGACCAAACAGUGGUAACACAGUCACAAAUGUAGCAACUAAUACGAACGAUCUAACAGGUCCAAAUGGAACAUAACAGUGUUUAACAUGAUACUAGAAUGAAACAAUAUGAUCUAACUAAUGUUGGUCCCAACAUUAAAUAAAAUAGUUGGUGUUUACGAAAAGAUUAAGUAAUUGGUUAGACAAAUUACCUGACUCCAGAAUGGUUGUCAAGUCCUCUGCGGAGGGGCUGGAGUUGCCAGACAGGUAAGCAAGCAGAUAGGCAGCGAUGAACUUCAUCCUGAACAAAUAACAAGGGAACAUAUUCAGCAAAUGUAAAUAGAUGUAAUUCUCCAUACAUCUGAAAGAAUAGUACAUUCAUAAAAUUAAAUAAGAAUAUAAAUCCGUAAUUAAUGGAGACGCCAGCGUACACGAGUGCUCAGAUGAAUCUAUCUAACAACUAAUCAUAAUAGAGUUUUGGUUCUUAAUCAGCUCAAGAAGCCAAAUUAUCUGCUUGUGAUGGUAAGCAAUCUUUUUUCUGAGGAUAAUGCAAGAUAUUACUAACACAACUUUCCUCUAUGCCUCUCGUGACCGGUCAUGUUUUAGCAAUUGGUUCGUCCAUAUGAGAUCCAUGAAACUCACCGACAAACAUGUAGCAAAUCUACCACAAUAUUCCGAUUGAAUCGAAAACCCCGUGAGUACAAACAACUAAAAACCUCGCGCUGACCGGAAGAACGCCGCGAAACCAUGAGAGCGAGUACCGAGAACAUAGCAAAACUAGCAUCUCAUUUCGCCAAAGCAAAUAGAGUACAUCAUAAUAGUAAUAGUGACAAGAUCAUAGAAACGAGAUAUGCAAAAGGGCAUUAGAAUCGUUACUUGGAUCGGAGAGGGAGAGAGCUGAAGUCGCGGCGGCGGCGGAGAGCUCUAGUGGUCUUCUAGGGUUUCUGCG
rnacentral:lncRNA from 1 species